UUCAAAUUGCAAUCAAAUAGAUUGUCCCAAGGGCGCCAUAUUCUAGGAGCCCAAGUUAUGCUAUUGAAAAUUCGUUCCUCUAGCAGUUCCGGUUUGAGCAUUCCGUUCCCUUUUUCAAACUCCACUUCUUUUCAUAUAUUCCAACCAGAUCCUUUCAUUUAA
rnacentral:rRNA from 1 species